rnacentral:ncRNA from 1 species
AUAAAGACUAUGAAGAGGAAAGUAGAUAGAUUAUUUGCUUUAAGAGAGAAGGAUUGUAAGCUGAAAUAUCCUUCAAGUAAAAUUUAUUAAAGACCACCUUGGAGUUGUAUACUGAAAUUUAGUAAGUAUUUCCGUUAGCCUGCGUUAAGGAUAUAGAGAUGGUAGCAUUUAAGAUAUACUUUAUAUAAAGUGUGGUGCUAUUAAUUUGGGUGGAACCACGGUAAAACUCGUCCCAUUG